rnacentral:lncRNA from 1 species
UUUUGGUAAAGAGGGUUUUACGUGAAAAGCAGAGAAGCGGCUGAAAAGAGGAAAAGGGCAAAGAGCAGAGCAAGAGGAAGAAGGUUGGAGAAGAGAAAAGCUUGAAGCUUAAGAUUCGCCGGAUUAAUUCAGGUAAGGGGGGUUUAUCGUCGUUUAAUGGGUAUUAUAGAUUAACAUGUAAUGGGUAGUGAUAAGUUGAAUUGACCCUAAUUGGGAUGAUGAGUG